CCUGAAUCGCACGUCAACAUGUGCAAGGUUAUCCUGGUUCUUCUUUUCGUGACUAUGGCAGUAGCAAGGUGGAAUGAACUUGAACCGAAGGUACCGAGAUGCGACCUGGGUCAGAAUCCUUGCGGGUCGAAAGGCAUUGGCGCACAAAAACUGUGGUUCUUUGACAGCUUUCGUAAGACGUGCAUGCAAUCAGGGACAUGCGAGGAGUAUGAUAAACAUGGUUACGAAUAUCGCAAGAAUUGCAGAAAAGCUCAUAAAAAAGCGUGCAAACACCUGAAGAAAGUCCCGCUGGUAGGCUCGUCGGAGUAGGGCGCUCUGCCAAGUUCAUUGUGUGCCACAAAGGAAUUUUAUAAUAAAU